ACGGGAGGCAGCAGUGGGGAAUAUUGCACAAUGGGCGAAAGCCUGAUGCAGCAACGCCGCGUGAGUGAAGAAGUAUUUCGGUAUGUAAAGCUCUAUCAGCAGGGAAGAAAAUGACGGUACCUGACUAAGAAGCCCCGGCUAACUACGUGCCAGCAGCCGCGGUAAUACGUAGGGGGCAAGCGUUAUCCGGAUUUACUGGGUGUAAAGGGAGCGUAGACGGCGGAGAAAGUCUGAAGUGAAAACCCAGGGCUCAACCCUGGGACUGCUUUGGAAACUGUUUUGCUAGAGUGCUGGAGAGGUAAGUGGAAUUCCUAGUGUAGCGGUGAAAUGCGUAGAUAUUAGGAGGAACACCAGUGGCGAAGGCGGCUUACUGGACAGUAACUGACGUUGAGGCUCGAAAGCGUGGGGAGCAAACAGGAUUAGAUACCCUGGUA
rnacentral:rRNA from 1 species